rnacentral:lncRNA from 1 species
UCUCUCAUAAGUAAAAGGCCAUAUCUGCAUCGAUCAUGAAUAAAAUGAAUAUGAAGCAUGUUUACAAGAAAUCAUGCCAGCUUGUUAAAGGAGCAUUUCAUAUUGAAGUUCAGCAAUAUCACCAUCUACAUGCUAAAAUGCAUUUUAUACGAAGUAAUAGAGAACAUAGACUAUCACAAAAAAUUGUUCAAUCAAACAAAGUUAAAGCUAUAAAAUGUUCACAUCAAGUAACAAGAAAUCCCACUAUUUGAACACCCAGAUUUUACAAUUACAGAUCACCAAAUACAUCCAGACAGUACAUUUGAUAUUACAAGAAGUUCAGCAGCAGUAUGAGGCACAUCCGGAAAUUGUGAUAGAAAGAGAAAUUAAAGUCCACUAUUUACUCCUGAAAAUUAUGGAUAAAGCAGCUCUUAUUGAGCAAUAGAUAUUCCCAACUUGAGCAAUCAUACCAACUUAAUACAUCCUACCUGUACAUUCUGCAGUACCACAAUAGCAUUUCUUAAUCUUGAUAUUUCCAUUGGAA